AGGUCUAUCGCCAAGCGGUAAGGCAACGGGUUUUGAUCCCGUCAUCCCCUGGUUCGAAUCCAGGUAGAUCUGCCA
rnacentral:tRNA from 1 species